GUCCACGCCCUAAACGAUGUCUACUAGUUGUUGGUGGAGUAAAAUCCAUGAGUAACGCAGCUAACGCGUGAAGUAGACCGCCUGGGGAGUACGAUCGCAAGAUUAAAACUCAAAUGAAUUGACGGGGGCCCCGCACAAGCGGUGGAUUAUGUGGAUUAAUUCGAUGCAACGCGAAAAACCUUACCUGGCCUUGACAUGUACCGAAUUUACCAGAGAUGGUUUAGUGCUCGAAAGAGAACGGUAACACAGGUGCUGCAUGGCUGUCGU
rnacentral:rRNA from 1 species